UCUGGAGUCUUGCAGCGAGCCCAGGAUGUAGGGUGCCAUCAUCUGGGUCUCCCUGCUGGCAACGGCAUGAUAGAUGGCGACACAUCUUAUGUUUGCAGCAAAGGCUGCUUUGGCUUACGACUGUCCGGCUAGCAAAACAGAGCAAGCUGCCAAAAACAACAGUCCAAGUGAAAACAGAGUAAUAACACCAGCAGCGUGGGAGACAGCAGCCAAGGAGGAACACACGAGCCCCAGAGAACAGGCCAUCAAUUUUCUUGCUGUGGCUGGCUGAAGGAAACUGAAAUGUAUAUUGCAGUGGCUU